rnacentral:misc_RNA from 1 species
GAUGAAGAACGUAGCGAAAUGCGAUAAGUAAUGUGAAUUGCAGAAUUCAGUGAAUCAUCGAAUCUUUGAACGCACAUUGCGCCCGCCAGUAUUCUGGCGGGCAUGCCUGUUCGAGCGUCAUUUCAACCAUCAAGCCCCAGGCUUGUGUUGGGGACCUGCGGCUGCCGCAGGCCCUGAAAACCAGUGGCGGGCUCGCUGUCACACCGGGCGUAGUAGAUUUUAUCUCGCUCAGGGCGUGCUGCGGGUUCCGGCCGUUAAAAAGCCUUUUUUACCCAAGGUUGACCUCGGAUCAGGUAGGGUUACCCGCUGAACUUAAGCAUAUCAAUAAGCGGAGGA